rnacentral:lncRNA from 1 species
CGGAUUUGACGCCAAAGAUGCAGUGGCGUCUUUGAAUGCUGCAUUCGCACCUGCACUAUCAUCAAACAUACCCUGGGCUGCUGUUCUCGGCAACCACGACCAGGAAUCCACUCUCUCAAGGGAAGGGGUGAUGAAAUAUAUAGUCGGCAUGAAACACUCCCUGUCUCAGUUGAAUCCCCCCGGGGUUAACAUUAUUGAUGGUUUUGGGAACUAUAAUCUGGAGGUUAGCGGGGUUGAGGGUUCUAGUUUACAUAACAAAUCAGUUCUCAAUCUCUAUUUCCUGGAUAGCGGGGAUUACUCCACGGUUCCCUCUAUCUUUGGCUAUGGCUGGAUCAAACCCUCUCAGCAAUUUUGGUUUCAGCGCACUUCUAAGAAGCUUCGGGUACUAAUUUUGCGUUUUCCGAGAGCAUUUUUCCCAUUUCUAUGGUCCUCACCAUGCCCAUUCAAUUGGGUAUUCCGUAGCCUCAAGUAGAAUUAUCAUAGAUUUUAUGCCUUAUAAGCCAUAACUCUGUUCAUUUACCACUGCCCUUUCUAAUGCAGAGAGCAUACAUGAGCAAUCCGGAGGGUCAGAAAUCAGCUGCACCAGGUCUAGCAUACUUUCAUAUCCCGUUGCCCGAAAGUGCGAGUUUUGACUCAUCAAACUUCACGGGUGUAAAACAAGAAGGCAUCAGCUCUGCUUCUGUGAAUUCAGGCUUCUUCACAACCAUGGUGGAAGCAGGGGAUGUGAAGGCUGCGUUCACUGGACAUGAUCAUGUCAAUGACUUCUGUGGAGAGCUACUUGGUAUACAUCUUUGCUAUGCUGGAGGGUUCGGGUACCAUGCCUAUGGGAAAGCUGGAUGGGCGAGGAGGGCUCGGGUUGUGUUGGCAACUUUGGAAGAAAGGGAGAAGGGAGGGUGGGGAGAAGUUAAGUCUAUCAAGACGUGGAAGCGGCUUGAUGAUAAACACCUUACUGUUAUCGAUGCUCAGGUCCUCUGGAGCAAGACCUCUGCUGGUAAGCUUCUACUCAAGUACCUUCUUGGUCACACUCUUGCAUUGGUCUUUUUAGCUUGUUAUAGUGGAGAGCAAUCAGCUCUGGAACAUCUAAGAAGUGUGUUUCAUAUCAUCCUGUCUGCAUCUGUCUCUUCCAAUUGCCUGAUUUUAAUGGAUCAUUCAGUGGUAUCCUGUGGAAACUCAAUGGUUUUCUAGUAAAAUACUUCAUAUUAUCUUUGAAAAGAGACCAUACAUGCAGAUAAUUUCUGUGCAAGUGUUUUCACAUCUGCCUUGGUGAUGCCAGAACAUAAUGAUCUUAUUUUCAUCUUCUUUCCUGGCCUCCACUAGAUGGUCGAGAUAUAAAUGAAUCAAGGAUUCUCCUACUUCAUUUAUUUUUUCACCCACUAUGGCAAAAUCUGUUUGCCCACCAACUUCACAUCACAAUUCAUUUUCUUUUGGGAUCCCUGUGUGAAUCACCUUGUAUCAGUGUUCUUGUUGUAUGGAUUUAUGAGUUUUGUGAUAUUCUCCUAUCUCAUUCACUGAAUUGAUUUGCCAAACACACCAAAAAUAAAUGUUGCUAAUUUUUCUAAAAAAUUAUCAUAACUGCCAUCAGGUGUAUGCCAUUUGCCUAAUCAAUCAUUUUUUUUUUCUCAAAGUUAACAUUUGAAUCUGUUUUCCAUUCCAUGCCAUCAGAAUGCUCACAUUUACUCUUUAUUUUUGGUUUGCAUUGAACAGGAAGCCGUAGAAAGAAAAAGAUUGGUGGCAUUUAAGUGAUUAACACGUAUUUGCAGCAAAGAUAAGCCAUCAACUUAGCUGUGAGAAAGUAAGCUUCAAAUAUCAGUUCAAAGGAAUCUUCUCUUGAUGUUGUUUUAUAGUUUUAUUUCAAGGACUUGUAUGUCUAAGACAUAAAGAAAACACAUGAGUAUUUUACAGGACAAUAAAUGAAAAACUAUUAUAAAGGAAGUUAAAGAUAUCAUCAGUAAUCAGUAAGUGGAUGUCAUCUAAUUGCAAUUCAUGCACGGUAGUUUUGUCAAAGAACCUUUUGAUGCAUGAAUGAUUAGAGAACAUAGUCCACAAAGUUGAGAAACUUCUUUGAUUCUUAAUAGUUCAUGCAAUGUACUAUUCAGUAUCAUUACCAUCCAAAACCUGUUCAUCCUCAACUUUCUCAGACUGCAGACUAGAAGAAUGGACAACUAGAUUGACUUUCAUCUCCUAACAACCUACAAAUAGUCAUAAAUCAAGACAAUAUCAGGAGCUUAAGUUUAGCUCUUGUCAGAGCUUGGUCAUGUACACAAUUUAAGCCAAAAAAAGGCUGUUGGGAGUAUAAAGAACUGGGAUAAAAACUAAAACAAGGCCAAAAUCUCUGCAAAAAUGAUCAUUUUGAAUAAUCAAGAAGCCACAUAUGUUUUUGAGGACUACUAAUAGUUGCAGGUGGACUCCAAAAAUUUUGUUUGGUGAUAGGAGUUUUGGUUCUGGAGCACUGAAAGAAACUUGAACCAUUGGAUGAAGUAUCAUAUUUCAUGUCUUUUAUGCAGAGUAUGUAGAUGAAGAAAGAUUUCAAGUUAUUGGAUCAUUCUUGUAAUCAGACACUUGUGGUGGUGAUCCAUUCCCAAAUUCUCUCUAUUAUGUCAUAACCUGAAACGUGGAAGAAAGAAAACCAAGUGAUCAUUCUUAUUCUUACAAGUUGGUUUUGGGGCUUAAUAUGCCAUCUACCAACUGGUUCAACAGAAGUCCAAACUUUCAAUUUGAUUGUGAUUGUCACUAUUGAGUUGUUGUUUGAUUGUUCAAAUGACAUACAUGAAAUGGCUCUUUGCCAUGAACAAUUGAUCGGGAAGUUUUCUGAACAAUGGUUCAAAACUAUAAUUAUGGUCAGAUUAUUUUGUUAUUAUUGGAAUGUUCACAUAUAUGGUUAAUUUUGAUACAGCAGUCCAUCGGCUUUUAGAUUUACAUUUAUAUUGUGCUGUUGGAUAAUGCUAUAUGAUCUGUUUUGGUGAAUUCCAUACAGCUAAAAAUGAUUGACUUCAAAUCACCAUUCUUGACCAGCCAAUAUCACACUGAGCCCCCGAGAAUUUCAAACAGGUUCUUCAAAUUCACGAGUUCCUGCAAGAACAUUCCCAGAAAGUAUUUUCCGUUUUAACUAUGAUAAGGUGAUCUGUGAUGAAAUCGAGUGUCAUAUGUCUAAAUAACAAAAUCCAUUUACCAAGGGGUACAUUGUAAGAAUGAAAAAGAAAUAGAAUUAAAACCUUUCUACCUGCUCUAAUAUUCAAAAUAUAGUCAUAUAUUCAUCUGUUAACCCUAAAUCAUGGUUAUACAACAGGAUUUGUUUUCGAUUGAUGUGUAUUUAUUAUGCUGAUUUAUUGACCUUGUUCCUUCAUUUCGUCUUUUUUUUUCCCUUCUUAUUUCCUUUUUUCUAUGACUACAUUUCAAUUCUUAGAUUAUUAACAGUACAUCAAAGUUUUCAUCUGCUUCGACAUUUGUUCAACAAAAUAGUGUUGAGGACAUUAGCAUUUCCCUAAGGCUACAUCUGGUUUCAUGAGAGUUUGAGAAAAAGAAAAUAGGAAGGAAAAACAUAAGAAAAAGGAAAAGAAAAUUUACAAUAUUUUUACGUUGUUUGGUUGUCUGGCGAAAAGUUUUAGGAAAACAAAAUUAAGGUUAUAUUUGGUUUCUGGAAAGUAUUAAGAAAAAAAAGUUAAAAAAAAUGAUUUUCUCAUACUCAAUCGCAUUAUUGAAUAAAUGAAAAAAAAUCAAAUAUCAUUAAAAUUUUCCUUCCUUGUUAGAAAACGAUAAAUUUUUCGGUACUUUUGUAAAUGAUAGGCUCAUUGGGAUCAUAUAAAUUUUAAACACCACGACUCAAGUGAGCAAGAGUGGUGGACUCUGCGAGUUGACGGAGCCUCACGCUCAUCAGGCUCCGGAGUGGGGCUCGUACUACAGUCCCCAACUGGGGAACAUCUGGAGCAAGCCAUCCGGCUGGGAUUCUCUGCAUCUAACAAUGAAGCAGAAUACGAGGCUAUCCUGUCCGGAUUGGACCUCGCUCUUGCUCUAUCCGUCUCCAAACUCCGGAUCUACAGCGAUUCACAACUCGUGGUAAGACAUGUCCAGAAGGAAUAUGAGGCCAAGGACGCAUGCAUGGCGCGAUAUUUGGCUAAAGUAAGAAACACCUUGCAAUAAUUCACCGAAUGGACAAUCGAAAAAAUCAAGCGAACUGACAAUGGGCGCGCUGACGCCUUGGCUGGCGUAGCUGCUUCCCUCCCAAUCAAAGAAGCCAUUCUAUUGCCUGUACAUGUGCAAGCCAAUCCCUCUGUCGAAGAAAUCUCCGCUUGCAACACCAUUGAGGCAAAUCAAGCAGACGAUCAAGAAUGGACGUAUAACAUUGCAGAAUAUCUCCGGACAGGGAUUCUACCCGGAGAUACUAAACAGGCGCACAAAAUCCGGGUGCAAGCUGCCCGUUUCACACUGAUUGGGGGGCACCUGUACAAACGAUCCUUCACGGGACCUUACCUUCGGUGCUUAGGGCAUUCAGAGUCCCAGUAUGUGUUAGCUGAAUUGCAUGAGGGAAUAUGCGGAAAUCAUUCCGGAGGACGAUCUCUAGCACAUAGAGCUCAUUCGCAAGGAUACUAUUGGCCAACAAUGAAGAAAGACGCGGCAGCAUAUGUCCAGAAAUGUGAUAAAUGUUAAAGUUACGCCCCCAUUCCACAUAUGCCAUCAGCAAUGUUGAAGUCAAUCUCAGGCCCAUGGCCCUUUGCGCAGUGGGGCAUGGACAUAGUAGGACCCCUUCCAGCAGCACCUGCCCAGAAGAAGUUCCUCCUUGUUGCCACUGAUUACUUUAGUAAAUGGGUAGAAGCCGAAGCAUAUGCUACCAUCAAAGACAAAGAUGUCACCAAGUUCGUGUGGAAAAACAUUGUUUGUCGUUUUGGAAUGCCCCAAACUAUUGUAGCUGAUAAUGGUCCACAAUUUGACAGCACUGCAUUUAGGAAUUUAUGUUCGGAACUAAACAUCCGGAAUUCAUACUCCACACGCAUUAUCCUCAAAGCAAUGGCCAAGCAGAAGCCACAAACAAGACCCUAAUCAAUGCCUUAAAGAAAAGGCAUGAACAAGCCAAAGGGAAGUGGGUGGAGGAGCUACCCGGCGUACUAUGGGCCUAUCGAACUACACCCGGACGACCAACAGGAAACACUCCUUUCGCCCUCGCAUAUGGAAUGGAUGCAGUCAUUCCUACUGAAAUCGGUCUUCCUACUAUCCGGACUGAUGCAACAAAACAAAAUGAUGCAAACACGGAAUUAGGGAGAAAUUUUGAUUGGACAAAUGAAGUGAGGGAAAAUGCAGCCAUCCGUAUGGCAGACUAUCAACAAAGGGCAUCAACGCAUUACAAUCGCAAAGUGAAGCCCAGAAGCUUCAAAAAUGGUACGCUAGUACUUAGAAAAGUUUUUGAAAACACUGCUGAAAUAGGCGCAGGGAAGUUACAAGCUAACUGGGAAGGACCCUAUAUAGUGUCUAAAGCAUGUGAAAAUGGAGCCUAUCAUUUACAAAAGUUAGACGUGAUGAUGCUUUUUAUUACCAUCAAAUAUCAUUUUUAUUUUCGAUUCAAAGCAGCAAUAGUUAUCAAUGAUGGAAAAGAUGAAGAACAGUUAAUGUUAUCAUUGUGUAAAUGAUAACCCAUUACACCAUCAGUGUGAUGUAUAAUAAGAUUUUAACAUAUAAUAGUUAAGAUUAAGCAUAACAGAUUUUAACGUUGAUAGAAUCAGUCUAUGAAAAUGUCAUUUAGCCAUAAUCUAAUUUUUUAUUACCAUUGGAGAUUGUUUCAACGUGAGUUUAUUUAUACUAUUAAUGAAACAAAUCCAUGUUUCAGGAAGAACAGUUAUCAAAGAUGUCAUUUCUAUCAAUAAUCUAAUAUGAGAUUCUAUGUAAAUAUCAUUUUUGAAAACACUGCUGAAAUAGGCCCAAUUUAUCAUUUGCCCGUGAAAAUUUGUAAAUAGAACCGACGAUGUCGUCGUAAAAUGAGAAACCAAAUGAAGAAAGAAUAAACUUCCAUAAAACCUAGAUGGUGUCUAAACGAUGAAAAACCAAAGGAUCAUGUCCCAAUGAUUAGUUAUAAAUGGAAAAAAGGAAUGAGCUUAGAUAGAACCUAGAAAGUUGUCCCAAUGACGAAAAACGAGUAGAGCAAAUAAAUGAACUUAGAUAAAAUUUAGAUGGCGUCCAGUAACAAAAAACAACAAGGAUGAAGAAUAAACAUAGAUAGAACCUACGAUGGUUUCUAAACAAUGAGAAAUUAAAGGAACAAAAUAUUAAGCUUAGAUAGGGCCUGUCCGCGUUCCAAUGAUCACAAACCAAGGUAAAGAAUAAAUGACCUUAGAAAGAACAUACGAUGUCCCAAAAUGAGAAAAUAUCUUAAUGAACUCGAUGUUGUUGAAGAUACUCUUGACUGGAAACAAUUCAAGAUGAUAUCACUGAUAGAAAUGUCUCCUUAAGAUUGAGUCCUCGGGAGGAUGAUGGAAAUUAGUGUUAUCAUUGUGUAAUAUUAUUACCAUCAAAUAUUAUAUUAUGGCUAAAUGACAUUUUCACAGACUGAUUCUAUCAACGUUAAAAUCUGUUAUGCUUAAUCUUAACAGAACCAGUUUCUAUAAGGACUGCUUCAUAAAACUCUCUUGUUUUUAAAAUAUCACCAGAGGGAUAAUGAAAAUUUUCUUGAAAAGCUUUUGCAGCAAUCUCUCUGGGGUUUUCAGAGAAAAAUUAUCUUUCAAUAACCAAAAGAGAUUGAUUUAAAUCAUUUUGCCAAUAUCUUGAUUUUGUUGAAAGAUGUGUGGGGUUGGCAGCCACCACAAUUUGUUUGCUUGAAAAAGAAGAACUUGUUGCUAAUUCCUUUUGAGAGGGAUUAGCCUUAGUAACCUGCUUAAAGGUCUGAGACCCUGAGGUAGCUGGAUAUUGUGUUGCCUUAACUGGUUUAGAAUGAUCAGAAGGAUCAUAGUAUAAGGUCAACAUUUUGUUAGACAUAUGACUGGAUUCAUGCAUAGGUUUAGAAGAAUGAAGCUUUGCCAAAAGUUGUGCUUCUUCCUCUUCAACUUGUUGACUCCAAAGCAUUUUAUGGGUAGAAGGAGAUUGGUUAGCUUGACUGGAUUGGGGCUUUUGAGAGCUAGAAGCUUGGGUAUUCUUUUUAGGGGCCAUGAUCUCAUGAACCCUGCAAAAUUCACGAGAUAGCUAAUUAGGGCUGAAAUAAUCUCCUUUAAUAAAGUAACUUUGAAACUUAGAUUUUAAAAUAAUAUACCAGUUAAUUAAAUCAUACUUAAAAGUUAUAUAUUUAAUUGUUUCAAAAUCUUUGAAAACAAUUUUUAAUAAAAAAUCUUGAUUCAAAAUCCCAAUUUGAAAUUUUGAAAUGCAUAAAGAAAUGCUUAAAAUAUCAUUUAUAAUGAGAUUAUGAAUGAAUUGGGUACUUAAAAUCUUAGGUGGAUCAUUAAUUCUAACAAGAUUAAUCUCUUGAUCACAACGAGUGAUGCUUUCAACAGGAUUAGCAAAUUCAAAAAGAAUUUCCUUAUCAAAAAGCUUAGUUCUUAUACCUUGGUUAUCUACCCACAACGGAUAAAUAGAACUUAAGAAGGGUAUUCCUAGGAGGGCUUUUUCAUUAAGAUCCUUAACACUGGGGCUUAGAAAUUAGUGACAGUUUUUCGGUACUCGAACGGAUUUUACCUUUUGUCGGUACUCGCCCGGAUUAAACAAUUUUUCGGUACUCAGACUGAUUCUACCAUUUUUCCGUACUAGUCCGGACAGUUUUUCGGCACUCGCACGGAUUCCACCUUUUGUCGGUACUCGCCCGGAUUCAACAAUUUUCCGGUACUCACACUGAUUCUACCAUUUUUUCGUACUGGUCCGGACAGUUUUAAGGUGCUCGCACGGAUUCCACCUUUUCCCGGUACUCUUUCGGAUUCAACAAUUUUCCUCUACUCACACUGAUUCUACCAUUUUUUCGUACUGGUCCGGACAGUUUUAAGGUACUAGCACGGAUUCCACCUUUUCCCGGUACUCGCCCGGAUUCAACAAUUUUCCGGUGCUCACACUGAUUCUACCAUUUUUCUGUAGUGGUCCGGACAGUUUUUCGGUACUCGCAUGGAUUCCACAUUUUGUAGGUACUCGCCCGGAUUCAACAAUUUUCCGGUACUCACACUGAUUCUACCAUUUUUUCGUAAUUGUCCGGACAAUUGUAAGGUACUCGCAUGGAUGCCACCUUUUCCCGGUACUCAUCCGGAUUAAACAAUUUUCCGCUACUCACACUGAUGCUACCAUUUUUUCGUACUGGUCUGGACAAUUUUUCGGUACUCGCACGGAUUCCACCUUUUGUCGGUACUCGCCCGGAUUCAACAAUUUUUCGGUACUCACACCGAUUCUACCAUUUUUCCGUAUUGGUCCGGACAGUUUUAAGGUACUCGCACGGAUUCCACCUUUUCCCGGUACUCGCCCGAAUUCAACAAUUUUCCGGUGCUCACACUGAUUCUACCAUUUUUCCGUAGUGGUCCGGACAGUUUUUCGGUACUCGCACGGAUUCCACCUUUUGUAGGUACUCGCCCGGAUUCAAACACUCUUGGUAUAAAGUCGAGCAAAACCAAGGAAAAUGAUGAGGUAGUAGCAAAUCUACAAUGCUUACUUUCAUUCUUUGGUAUCUAUGAAAUGCUGCAACUUUUUGAGGAAACACAAAUUGCAUUGAUGUAGAUACAUAGAAAUCCAUCACUCUAUGCUACAAAAAUAAAGGGAGCAAAACAAUUUGAGAACAAAUGCCACAAUUGUGCAACAUGUUGUGCAACCAUCACUUUCACCAGUGAUGAUGAAAAAAGCAUGACAUCAAAUUUUACCACAAUUGUUUUCAAACCUCGACAUUCCAAUUAUGCUCCUUAAAGCAUGAACCUAAAAUGCAUAUUGUUUCUAUCCUAUAAGAGCUUAAACUAUAGUAUUAAAAAAAAAAAAUCAAGCUUAUGGCAAAAAUAAAAAUAAAAAAAUCUUUUUUGACAAUCUUUUUAAACUAAGGAACAAACUCUUUGUAUUAAAGAAGUCAAAUUCAUAGAUUCUAAACUAAAAUCUCCAACUUCUCUAAAUAAAAGUGUUAUUUUCUUUUAACAUGACAAGUUCUCAAAAUGGCAAUGCAACCCAGAAGCUAAAUCCAAAAAUGAAGGUUCAAAAGUCAUGAUCAAACUCCAAACAUUUUUCAACAAGCUCGUGGAAGAAUAUCAAGCACCAUACAAAAUUGUCAUUCAUCCACCUUCAAAGCUAAAGAAAAUAAGGUUAGGUUCUUCAAAACACUUCAGGAAAUUAUUGAUAAGUUUACUUGAGAUUAGGUCAUCCUUGACCAUCAAUUAAACUUUGCUCCAAGAACACGUGUUUACUACCCUUGGAUUAAAGUCAAGUCUAAGCUCGACACAUUUUUCAACAAUCCUAUGGAAGAAUAUCAAACACAAUACAAAAGUGUCAUUCAUCCAUCUUCAAGGAUGAAAAUCAAGAUGAAUUCAAAGGACCUUAUUUUGUUCUCCAAAAUGCUUAAGAAAGGUCUUCACAAGUUUGGUUGAGAAUAAGUCAUCUUUGACCAUCAAUUAAACUUUGUUUGUGGAAUUGCCUAAGAUUAUAUCAGAAGAUCAAUUGACCGAUAUCCUCACCAAAGCUGUCUCAAGUCAAGUGUUCUCAAAAUUUUUAGAUAAGUUGGGCAUGUGUGACAUCUAUGCACCAACUUGAGGGGGAGUGUUAAGAUAUUAGAAAUGUUUUCCAUAUAUCAUUCUUUCCUUAUAUUAUUUAGUGUUGAGAUAUUAGGAAUGUUUAAAUAUUAGGAAAGUUGAGAUAUUAAGAAUAUUGAGAUAUUAGGAAUAUUGAGAUAUUAGGAAAGUUGAGAUAUUAAGAUAUUAGUUGUUAUUUCCUUAUAUCAUUCUUUCCUUGUAUCAUUCCUUCCCAUUCUUAGAAUGGUGAUUACCCUCUAUAUAUUCUCUGUACAUGAACGAAUGAAAGUAUGAAUGAAAAAACUAUCAUUUAUCAAUUUGAACAAAAUUCACUUUAUUGAGUUUAUCCUAAUAGUAUGAUGUUGAAAACUCAAGCCUGACUCACAUAUACCAAGUUGUUUACUUAGCUUGUUGAAUCGUGAAACAUGAAUCAUUCCUAUUGCGCUACAAAGGGGAUAUCAGGGGUGCUUGUGAAUUUUGUUUCUUAUAUUUGUUGAAUGAUGAGUUUGUCCUUAUUGUGUUUUUAACUCUUUUAUUAUUUAAGGCUUUGUUUUAGAGAGUACACUUGUGAAUUAGCGUUUAUCAUCAUAAUCCUUUACAAGAAAGUAAGCGGUGCAACUAGCUAAGUCCUUAGGCUUAUUUAAAUAAAGAUUCCAAUUGGACAAGUCAAAUUAAUCGGGUUAGAGAAAGAAGACAGGAUAAGAACCCUAACCCUUGUGUCAUAAGGCUGCAAAGGCACUAUCAAGGAGAGGCUUUUGAGAGAGAUACAGGUGAAGUGGAGCCUUUAAUGCUUGGAGUGCUCAUCACACAAAUAGGGGCUCAUCACACAAAUUUUAAACACUUUUACCCUAAACAGAUCAUAUAAAUUGAAUUGCUGAUAUGUCCACGGGCAAAUGAUCGCUGAAACUCGCUGAAACUCACACUAACAAAGAUCCAAUCCACCAUAGCGCAUUGGAUAUUGGUCUUCUAACUUACACUGGGGUACUUCUAGAGAACUCCAAGUCUCCAAGCAUACGCCUCUAUUUCAGGCAUGCCUAUUUGGUUCACUUCCAAGAGUAGCAUGUUAGAGACAUAUCAAAUACACAUACCCACGUCGUGCCAUGUAAAGGUACUUCACAUGUUGAAUAUUGUGUGCAACAUAGGUGGGAGCUGUGGGAUGUAACCCCCGAUCACAUCAACUUGGAAAACAGUUUACUAUGACAAUUUCCUUAAAGGUUCACUUUCUUAGUGUAGCAGAACAAAACGCCAACAGGUUGUUUCAUUAGUUGACUUAUAACCUAUUGAUGAAAUCUCUAAAAGGGAAAUCAGAGCUGUCUGUAUCUUCACGUGUUCUUUGUUGGAAAUGGGAAUAAAGAAUUAGAAUCUUCUCUUUGGGAUGUAAUAUCCAAACAAUGAAAAGAACGAUGAUGCCUAAGAAUCAUGGUUUGAUGCUUCUUCCAACAAUGUGUCCUUGUUAUAGACUAUAGACUCACAUGUGUUUGCAGCCUGCUAAUACCUAUGAUAAAAUCAUCAAUUGCAUCCUUUGAUUAUGACUAUGCAUCUUUUCCUGAGUUAGAAGAAUCUGCGAGAUCCGUGUCUCUCUCAAAGAUAUUACAGGCUAUUCCCUUCUUCAGCUCUGUCAUUCAUUUUCAAACUCCAUAUCAGUCGAGAGAAAAUUUGAUUGAUUUGCUAGACAAGGUAUUAUUUAUUAUAACAAUUUUUUAGGCCAUGUAUCUGUGCUAUGCACUAUGUGGAGUUGGCCGAACCAAGGCACACAAUUGGUAAAAAUUGGAGAGAAAGAGCAUGGUCCAACUGAUGUGAUUUAUGAAGCUUGAAUUUAUUCGAAGGAAAAUGCUUUGUUGCAAGAGUCACAAGCCAUGCCCAACUGGCAUGAGUUUAAUUAAGGGUCAUAUUCCUUUUCUUAGCCAUUGCUUGGUGUUCAGGUCACACGGAUGUUGGACCUCUAGAGUUCACAAGUAGGGGUGAUUAGGCAUACAGGCAUUCCAACCUAUUUUAGUGGAAGGAUGUGCUAUUUGUUUACAUCCAUUAGUUCAUAAGGGAUUCAAUGCAGAUUUUGAUGGGGAUCAAAUGGCUGUUCAUGUACCUUUAUCUUUGGAGGCUCAAUCGGAGGCUCGCUUACUUAUGUUUUCUCAUAUGAAUCUCUUGUCUCCAGCCAUUGGGGAUCCCAUUUCCGUACCAACUCAAGAUAUGCUUAUUCCUGUGCACACCACACAAACCGGCAACCCAUGAUCUUGAAGAGUUGAAAUCAAGCAAUUCUGUUUUGGUAAACUAAUUUUAUCAUUGCAUGCUUUAAAAGAUUGACCUGAUUAAGAGGAUUCAUUACAUACAAGGUAUAAGAAAGUUGCCUUAUUAUCACGUGUCAUUGGAUUAUAAGACUAGGCAAAUGGACAUCCUUACACACCAAAGAACAAUCUAAUACUAUUUUGUAAUGACUUGCUCUUUCCCGUGUAGAUAUUAUCCGUGCUAGAUCUAAUAAGUUAUCAUAAUUUAAAAAAGCGUGUACCUAAGAUUAAAGUGUCCACUGUUCAACACAGGAGAUCUUCCCUCUGAAGCCGGCAAUUGCCUGGUUGGGUGUUGCUAGUGACUAAUUUUCAAAUCAGUUUAGACUUCACAUAUUUUAAAUAAGAUGACUUGAGCUGUAUAGAAAAGGAGAUAUAUUUUCAUGCAUAGAUCCAAUCCUUCUCUUUUUUUUUUUUGGGUAGGAAUGUGGCAUGGUAUUGACAUUUUUGUUCCGACAUUGGGCUCGUGUGCUCGUGACAGACGACAGCGAGGGUACGAAGAGAGUAAAACAAUCACAGACUGCACAGGACAUGAAAAACUCAACGAGGCUAGCGUGUGCGUAUUACAAAGACAAGCAAAUUAGCUGGCGAGAAAUCUAACAGUUAUCUUCAAAUUCAUGAACUAUGGAGUUUGUGCACACUAGAAUACAACGUCAGCCACGCACAUGAAGCCAUUGAAAAGAGGGUUAGAUUUGUCUUUUGGGAAGUAAAGAAAAGAAAGGGAAUUUGAAGCCUUGUGGUACAAACUACUAAGUAACAAAGCAAGGGAUUGGGUUGUUGAAAGUUAAAACCUGAAGGUCAUACCUUUGUGCGAGCCACUUGAAUUGAAGGCCGUUGGAUCACAUGUGACAUGCCAUUGAUCUCUAAAGUUAAUCUUAUAAGUCCCUUGGACCCGUGGGAUGCUGCCUUGUCCUCAUGAGGAAUAUCUUUCCACGGGGACAUAAUAUAUCUCGAAAGCAUUAUUAACAAGACAAAGACAACAACGUCAUCUAUCCCAUUUGAAUUUAAGAUAGAUGCCUUUAUUUCAUGUACUUCUCUCACUUGCGACUUCCGGGAAGCUCUUGAGGUAGGAUUCAUCUCGUUGGACGUGGUUCGUUUCCUGCCUCACAUUGGAUUAAAUUACAUCAUUUCAAAUGAUAAGAUAUAAAUUAAAAUAUAAUUUAAUUAUUAAAUAAUUCUCUAAGUCUUACGGGAAAUUUCUUAAGUCAAUAUGAUCUUUUACACCUUCGAAAACCAUAAUAUAAUCAAUUUUCAUGUCUUUCGAAUUUAGAGUAAAUAAUAUCUAUAUGAUUCAAUAGGGAUCAAUAUAAAUAGUAUUAGAGUCAAUCCUCAACCUUGAUGUAGAGUUUUAUUUAACCUUAUGAGGGGUGUUUAUUUGUUUAAUUUCAUGAUAUAGUGAAAUAUAAUUAGGGAUCAUUAUAAAUAGUAUCAAAGUCAAUUUUCAACUCCGAUGUAAAAUUUUAUUUAAUCCUUUAUGGGGUGUUUGUUUGAUUUCAUAAUCCCGUGAAAUAUAAAUAGGAUUUUGUAUUUAUAUAAAAGAUGUUUGUAAUAUCUCCUAUUUUACGAUGAAAAAAAAUUUCUUAAUAUUAUAUAAAUAUAAACUCUUUCUAACUUGUUAAUGUUAAUAUGAUUAACCUUUUAUAUUUAUAAUUUAAUUCACCUGUUAAUUUGAAUAAAUCAAAUAUAGAUGGAAGAGAUGGAGAUUAUAAUUAGGAUAAUUAAUAUAAUGAUUAUUAAAUUGAUUUUCGAAUUAAAUAAUUAAAUUGGUUUCAAAACACAAAUUGAAUCUGAUUCCACACGAAUUUUAUCGAAAUAUGAUUGUACUCUAUCCAAGUGUGGCUUUUUCUUUUUGUUUUCCAAAAGCUAAAAAUAUAAUUUAUUUUAUUUUAUUUUAAAAUUUGGCCCAGUGCGGGCCCCGGGGGGCCAAGGCGACGGUCUGACAGCUAAGAGGAAUUAUUAAUUAAUGACUAAUACUAGUCAGCAGGGAGGUGGCGGAAUUAAUAACUAGUACUAGUUAGCAGGCAGGCGGCUGCGAGUGGUGACUAAUGCGAAGCAGUGGAGCAGUGGAGGAGGACCUAAUUGAACGUCAACUCUGAAACUAAAACCAGAGAAAGAAGGAGAAAAACAAUGGCACAGCCAUGGAAGAAGAAAACAUGUUACUGGAUGAAGGCGAUGCUUCUUGCUUUGUGGUUUUCUGGGAUCCAUGUGUUGGCUGAUGCGGCUGCAGCUGUUUCCAAGGAACAAAAUCAAUUGCGGUUCAGCAAGGAGGGGCAGUUCAAGAUACUACAAGUUGCGGACAUGCACUUUGGUGAUGGCAAGUCCACCCCUUGCAAGAAUGUUCUCCCUAAUCAGAUGCGCGGUUGCUCCGACCUCAACACUUCCGCUUUCAUUCAUCGCAUGAUCCAAGCUGAGAAGCCUCAUCUCAUUGUUUUCACGGGUAUUUUCUUCCAUUUUCUUUAUUAUUGUGUUUCUUACCAUCUGUUUGGGAAAUUAGAGAGCCGAGUGAAUUCCCAUCUCCCAAGAAUUUUCCCCAAAACCCCUAAAGCCUUGUAGUUGGAGUUGAUUUAUGCAGGCGAUAACAUAUACGGAAAAGACGCCAAAGAUGCAGUGGCGUCUUUGAAUGCUGCAUUCGCACCUGCGCUAUCAUCAAACAUACCCUGGGCUGCUGUUCUCGGCAACCACGACCAGCAAUCCACUCUCUCAAGGGAAGGGGUGAUGAAAUAUAUAGUCGGCAUGAAACACUCCCUGUCUCAGUUGAAUCCCCCCGGGGUUAACAUUAUUGAUGGUUUUGGGAACUAUAAUCUGGAGGUUAGCGGGGUU